UGGCUCAGUGGUUAAGAGCACUGACUGCUAUUCAGGAGGUCCUGAGUUCAAUUCCCAG
rnacentral:tRNA from 1 species